AAUACUAAUAAUUUCAAAAAAGAGGUCCAUUGAUACAUUUUUUAAAAAAUAGAAGAAAACAAUCAAGUCAAAGUAGUCAGUCAUAAAAGAGAUCUGGAAUAUGUUUGAGGUAAAGAGGGGACACAAACAGCAGGAUGGUUUUGAGAGCAAUGUCCAGAAUUAAUUUUACAAUUUUAAAAAUAAAAUAAAGAGUAUGAAAUGGAGAUUCCUGGUUACAUAAAAAAAUCCUAUUUUAUGUUCUGAUAUUUAUCUGGAAAUAUUAUUUUUGUGUGUUUGAGUUCAGAACAAAAAGUAUCCAAAAAAGAAAGUAAUGGUUAUGAUCUGAAAGUGGUGAUAUAACAAUGAUGAUCUUGGAGAUGAUAGUGAUGGUAGUGGCCGUGUGCCAAUGAGGAUUGUAGAGCUACAGAAAUGAUAGGAUGGAGAUGUGAAAGGGACUGUGUCAAUCUGAGAGUAUUCAUGGUGGUCAUGUGACAAUUUUUAUGGUGCUAGGGGAUGUAAAAGUGGCAUCCUUGUACAACAGGCUCCGGGGGCAAAACCCUAAUUCCAAGGUGGACCAAAGGAUUGGGACCCAUCAGAAAACAUGGCCGAUAUUUGUGAUUUGAUUGAAUUACACUUAGUUACUUACUGCUUCUCUUUUCUUAUCCGCUCACCCAGUCAUGUUACCUGGUCCAGAUAUAAUCAAAAUGUCUAGGAAGUGACUUGGAGGAAAAGAAAAGGUAAGGAAAAAUCAAGAGGGUCAAAAGGAUUGGUUACCAAGCUACAAAGGCUUCUUGAGCUCCAGUUCUGAGAGAAUGAAUAUAAACUGUACCACUGAAGCUAAGGUAAGAAGGAGAGUUGGCUUGGACGGGAGAAGAGUGGUCCCAGGGAAGGUUAGAGGAGGGUGGGGUCAUUUUAGUUAUAGGUUACCUUGAUUAUGAUACAAGGUUACUAGAGGAAACUUGUCAAACUCAUUUCCCUUUCAAUUGGAACAAGAUAACAAGAAGUUUGUUGUGGGUAUUCCCUUGUCCUUCCAUGAUAACAGCAAGUUUCUCCCCACAGCAGGGCCACCUACAACUGGAUUGCUUCAGUAAGGUAUUGCUCACUUCCCCAGUGCAGCCUGCCAUACCAUGCCCCUCAUUAGGCUCCAUCAUCCUUGGAUACUGAGAGUCAGAAUUCCCUUGAACAAGCAUUUGUCAGACCCAGGCUAUGUGUGAGGUGCUAGGUUAGGUUUCAGGACCCAAAGAGAAAAGCAAAAGGCUUUCGUGUAUCUAAGAACCUACCGGCAAUUGCUGGGAAAUAAUACAUACAUAAAUGCAAAGCAUAUUAAAAAUAAUUUUGGGGUGGGAUGGUGAGAGUGAUCUUAUGUGUAAAAUGAGAGGUAGGCUGUUUACAAUAUAACAGGGAUUGCAGAGGGCACAGUGUAAUGGCAGGGAAGAAUGAGGUAGCUGAGCAGAAAAUAAUUGCUACUAUUCCUCUUCUCUUUUCCAGUCAUGCAGGCAUGUUGUCUGGUCCAGAUAUAAUCAAAAUAUAUCGUAAUUGACUCAGAGGCAAAGAAGAGGAAAGGAAGGAUGAUAGCGGCCAAAAGGAAUUACUGUUAAGGGGCUAUCAGCCUCCUGAGCUCUAGCUCUGAGAGCAUGAAUCUGAACUUACACGCCCAAGCUAGGGUAAAAAGGAGAGUUGGCUUGGUUGGAAGAUGAGUGUUACCAGGAAAAGGCUAGAGGAAGAUAGGAGUCACUCAUAAAAGAGAUCUGGAGUAUGUUUGAAGUAAAGAAUUACAAGAAUGUAGAAGUCUGAUCAAUGAAAUGUCCAAUUAUGACUUCAGGACACUGAUGGUGUAGCAAUAACCCACCACCCUUGCUCCUUUCUGGAGACAAGUGGUGUCUCAAGGUGUGGAAUCCAUGCUCAGACAGGGCCAAUAGAUUUUCUUGGACUGCUCUGGCCAGAGUAAUCGAUUAUGUGACAAGGUGGGUGGGCAUAGAGACAGUGGGAAAUUCCUAAAAUGGAAAAAAGAGCAUUAAUAAACUUUUUUUGUAUUCUUUCCUUCCCCCACCUAACUUCUCUAUAAAUAGUUCCUGGAAUAUAGCACAUGUUUAUUAAUUGCAUUUUGACUUGACUUUUCAAAGAAAAUAGAUUUUACUAAUAUCUUCUCUUUCUACAUCACCUUCAUGUCCAGAGGUAUCCCAUAUGGUUCCCUCCCAGCAAGCCAUCCAUUGCCAUGGAAGAGAGAAAAAGAGAAAAGUCAAAAGAAAAAGCAAUUCAGUCAAAGGAACCAAGGAAUCAACUAAGACUGAAGAUGUGCCUCACAUUCCAAAUGAGCAUCCUUCCACUACUUCCAUUAAGGGAAAGAGGUAUCCCUCAUGUUUCCCUCCUAACCAGCCAGCCAUGUCCAUGGGGGCAGGAGGGAAGGAAGAGUUGAAAGAAAAAUCAGUUCAACCAAAAGAACCAAAACAUAAACAGAGUCAAAAAGUCUAUACUACAUUCCAUACCAUGAGUCUCCCACUUCUCAAGUGAAGGGAAGGAGUCAUGUUUCCUGGGCCAGUUAUAAUCAGACUAUGUAAAAAGUCAACUAGAGGCAAAAGAGAGAUAAGAGAGGAUGAUGGGGGCAAAAAGAAGGGGUUGCCAAGUUAAGAAAUGGCUACUGAGCUCCAGCUCUGAGAGGGCGAAUCUAUACUGGCCAUUCAAGCUAAGCUGGAGCCCGGGGCAUCACCUGCAUCUACAAUGAAGCUUGCCACUCCAGACUGUCCAGUGGGCUCCACCGCUGUGGAAAGCAAGUCAUUCAUUGCUACGGAGUAGGUAAAAUUACCCAGAGGCAAAAGCAGUUCAGCCAAAAGAAUCAACUGAAUCUAAAGUUAUAAUCCAAAUAUAAGAAGUGACAUGGAAUCAGGGUAGAAUCAAGGAAGGAUGAUGGGGUCCAAAAAGGAGAGGUUGCCAAGUUGACAAAAGCUUCCUGAGCUCUGAGAUGGUGACUAUAUUGGCCACUCAAGCUAAGGUCUAUUUUUGCUGCUGCUCUGUCCGAGAUCAUGAUUGCUAUGCUUGCUUCAGAGAAUGUGGACUUAGUCGAUCUGCAGUCAUACAGCACUGUGUGACGAGCUGGCCUCGGGACCCAGAAGGACCUGGUUGUGAGUCUUCGCUGUCAUCUAGAAUGGCUGUAUGAUCCUGGAUAAGGAACCUCUCUCUGCCAGUGCAGGUAAAUGAAUAUCUGGAAAUGAGAGUAACCAGGGUAUGACCUUGUGAACUUCCAAAGCUCAGAAGAACCAUCAGAGGUCCCCCUCAGCAACUCUAGUCAGUAGCAGAAACCCCUGGAUCCAGCAGCAGGAGCCACAUGGCCCAGCGCACAUUAGUUUGACCCAGAAACCUGGAGACCCUAUAGGAAGGAACCAGCCCUGUGGAGCAAGAGGGCAACUCAUCCACUGUAAUGCCACAGCCUGAUGCAAAGUUAGUGAAGACUUGAUGACUCCUAGGGUCAGCCACUACAAGGUUCUCUUUGGCCCCACGCGUUACCUACAUAUGUACUCACUGCAUUAGAAUUAACUGUUGUAACACCGAAUCCACUCUCUCCAGGGCCAUUGUAUAUGCAAGGGGAGAAUGGGCUUCCUAUUUGGGGCAUGUAUUUGUACUCUCUGUCCUCGCUAUACUUUCUUAAUAAAU